AUGCAUACACAGGUGCACACACACGUGCACACACGCAUGCAUACACGCAUGCACACACACAUGUGCACACACGCAUGCAUACACAGGUGCACACACACGUGCACACAUGCAUGCGUACACAGGUGCAGACACACAUGCACACAUGCAUGCACACAUGCACGCGCACACACGUGCACACAUGCAUGCAUACAGGCGUGCACACACGUGCACACAUGCAUGCAUACACAGGUGCACACACGUGCACACAUGCAUGCAUACACACAUGCACAUACACGUGCACACAUGCAUGCACACACGCAUGCACACACAUGUGCACACACACGUGCACAGGCACGUGCACCCCGCCGUGCCCUGCCCGCAGCCCUGACCCCGGGCAGAGCCCGCCGGGCUGGCGCCGAGCCGGCCACAUUGGGCAACCCGCGGGGCUGCAGACUGCCUGGGGCCAGGGCCGGGGCUGGGGCCAGGCGGGCGCAGAGCGGCCGCGGGGCCGUGCUCACCCCCGCGCUGCAGCGCAGCCCCACUGGGGCAGGCAGCGGCCGGUCCCGCGGCGGCGGCCAGGGCUCUGCACCUCGCGGCCGCCCCUGGCCCCAGCCCGGGCACGUCCCCUCCUGCCCCGCYGCACAGAGGAGGCCCCAGCGAGCUGGGCACGGCGCGGAGCCUCCUACUGCAGCUGAAGCAAUUGCACAGAUGCAUCCUGGCCCCUUGAUCCCACCGUCAGGAAAAAUACCCAUUAUCCGCGUCUGCCACGCUCCCUUCCCUGCUCCCGCCCUCAGGAGCAUCUUGCAGACGGCCGGGGACGGCGGCACGGUGCCCGGGCGGCCGCGGCCAGCAGAGGAUGCUCUGGGAGCAGCCCGGCUCCUCUUCCUCCCUCGCUGGGCGGCAGCGGUGGCCCGUCCUCGUCCUGCCGGCCCGGGCAGGGCUGCUGGAGCGGAGCCCAGGCGGGCGCCCUGCCCUCGCCUGCUGCACCCGGGCCCCGGGAAGCGCAGCGCUCCGAGCUCCCUGCCGGGCCGGCAGAGCCCAGGAACGGCCCUGCUGCUGCCCGGGAGCCCCAGCAGCCCGGCCGCAGCCUAA
rnacentral:lncRNA from 1 species